rnacentral:misc_RNA from 1 species
GAAAUGCGAUACGUGGUGUGAAUUGCAGAAUCCCGUGAACCAUCGAGUCUUUGAACGCAAGUUGCGCCCAAGGGACCCUCCCGAGGGCACGCCUGCCUCAUGGGCGUUAGAAGCCCAUCCACGCUCUUUUGCCUAACUAAAGGCAAAGAUGCGGACAUUGGCCCUCCGAACCGCGAGGCGCGGUGGGCCUAAGUGUGCGGCCGUCGUACGUGGCCGGGAGCGGCGAGUGGUGGGCUACUGCGCACGUCACCCCGAGCCCCGUACAGACGCAGGGCCUUGUUUGAACCCCUAACGAGGAGCAUGCCGCUGUGGCUUCUGCUGCGCGGCGCCUUCGGACCGAUACCCCAGGUCAGGCGGGGCUACCCGCCGAGUUUAA